UAUGGUUAAGUGACUAAGCGUAC
rnacentral:rRNA from 2 species